AGUGCAUCAGAAGGGACAGUACACACCAUCUUUCAUUCCCACCAUUCUUUGUGAAGAGGAAUCCAAAUGUUCUUUGGCCUGAUCGAGUUCUUAUGGGUGCCUUGAGCCAUCCUAGGAGGCAUCCCAAGUAACAACAUUAAGAACGUAUAAAUGUUUGAACUGUGCAGACUUCUUGUUGUGAGAAAAAAAGCCUGCAGCCAAUGAGAUAGAAAUGGAGAGAAGGGCAAUAGCAGCUUGCACACGUCAAGGAUCUGCAGCGCAUGAAACCCCUUAAACUGAAGAUGAUGGUGGGUCCCUGAUGCAAUGUAAAUUACGUAUAUGGAAUGUUUUGUAUAUAACCAGUUAUUCAAUCAUCAUCAGUGCUGUACACAGAGUAUUAAGUAUAUAACAUUUCGAUUUCUGUAUCUUUCUUUUUCUGAUUUAUAUGAACCCGAGCCGAUUUCAUUGAAGUAGAAGUUACUUAUAAUUGCAACCUCCUUAAAUGUAUCGUAUAUUAGUUUAAAAACAAAAGUACAGGUCACAGCCUUUUCCCACAUGCCUGAAAAAUGUGUUGUUUACCAAAUGAUAUGCAUUGCGUGAUUCUGGGCCUUGCAAAAGAAUUACCGGUACUACAAAUGAAAUAAUCAUGUUUUUUCUAUGUAUAUAAAUUUCUUCCAAACUUCUUUCUUUUAAAGGAUUGUCAUAGGCACACAAUUUUUUGAAUGAUUUAUGUCCCAUUACUUUUCUCAUGUUUUCAAUGCAACUACAUACUUCAACCCUACAUAAUUUGACUACAUUCAUUGUAAGAAAGAACACUGGAUUAAAAAUUCAAAAUGUAUGAACACUACUUUCUUAAUUUCUUUUUCAUAAAGAACAUGAAGAAUCUGUGGUAGGAAAACAAGUAGUAUUAUAAACUUGUUGUAAUGUUGAUAUGAUAAUUCUGUAUGUCAUUUCAUUGAUGUGUUCAAUCAUUUACUUACAAAAGGAAAAAAUUUUUUAUUCAAAAUGCCUUAUACAUGGCGCCGCUUGUAAACAUGUAUCUUGAACAAAAAUGUGCGAUGCACCUUUUGCAUUGAUAUUGGGUGUGCUCCAAACAAGAACUGAAACAGGAAUGUAGGGCAUAGUUUUAUUUUAUUACAUGGCAUAUGUGUUCAGUACAUAAUCUAGUCAAAAUCUGAUUACAAUUUUUGUAAUACAGUUAACUUCAGAAAGAACAAAUAUUAUGUGCCCAUUUUUCAUGAUGAAUUCUACAAAUGUGCAGAUUAAUGAAAUUUGGACAGUCUCUCAUAUAUAUGCUUAUUUAUAGUAUUUGUUUUUGCUGUCAUGCUUAUACUUUAAAAGCAAUGAAAUUAUGUUUUUUUUAAAAAUCAUUAAUGGGAAAAAACAUAAAUAUACAAGAAGAAUUAAUUUCAAUUAAUUUUCUGAAUCAGUUCCAUUAUCAUCCAUUGCUCCAUUAACCUCAUCCACCUGGUCAACACAAUUCAAACAUACCAGGUAAUGGUAAAUUUAGAAAUGGGCUGAAUUGACCAUUUGAACAUGUUGCGUCAUUUAAUUUGAAUAACAAACGUUACAGCAAUUAAACCCAAAGAAUAAUAUGUUUAUUAACUGGAUAUUUAAUUCCUAACAAGUUUAACAUGUUAAACAACCAUGAGCUUGUGCAAUACAUUAAAUGUUGACUGAACAUUACAAAUCAUAUAAUUUAAUUAUUCAACUAAUGGACUGGUUUAUUGUUUAGUCAUUUAGUCUUAUGCGAUGGUAGUGUGUACGUAGUAUGUGCCUCCGUGCGUCUGUAAACAAUUCCUCUUUAACAUGAUACAGCCUUCAGUUUUGAUUGUAUCUUGAUGAAACUUGUACAGUAUUUACAUAUCCAUAAGAGCUCAGUUCCUUUUGAAAACCAGCCAGAUCCGCCCAUGCAUGCCUAGAUUAUGGGCCUUGAUAGUAUAAAAAAUCAGUGUGUCAGUAAGCAGUUGCUCGUUAACAUGAUACAGCCUUCAGUUUUGAUUGUAUCUCGAUGGAACUUGAACAGUAUCUACAUAUCCAUAAGAGCUUGGUUCCUUUUGAAAACCAGCCAGAUCCGCCCAUGCAUGCCUAGAUUAUGGGCCUUGAUAGUAAAAAAAUCAGUGUGUCAGUAAGCAGUUGUAAGUUUCAAAACAAUCUCUCGAGGGACCAGACUGAUCAAAACGGACAUUGGGAUAUCAAUUUUCAGAAUUUGUACCUUGCUAAAAUCAUAUGUAGCUUGUGUCAAUAACUUGUUGAAUUAAGUUGAUCCAGAAUUAGGUAUAUUGUAAAAUCACACUUUGCUUUCCUAGUUAUUUCGUUUUUCGUACUAGCUUUGCAUUCAUGUGUGUAAUUAUACCUAGGAUUAGAGGGCUGCUCUAAAUCUAAAUAUUUCUUACCAAUGCUUAAUUUUGUUAUCUUUCGAGAGUACUUGAUAUUUUAUUCUGUUUGUCUACUUGUGUACAUAAUAUGCAUGUUUGGUUUACUCGUAUUGUUUGAAUAUUAUUGUGUUAAAUGUAAUUCAUAAUAUGUGUCAUUAUUAGUAUAUAUAUCAAUGUUUUGCUCUUCAUUUCAUGGAGGAAUAAA